AGGGGCAAGUGAUGAAUAAUUCUUAUCCUACACACUGAAUUUCAAUUGUGUUGAAUACAAACAUCUCAAAUAUAUUGUCUGAUGCCUUA